UGGGGCAUGGUGUAAUGGAGAGCAUGUGGGUCUGCGGUACCCUUGAUCUGGGUUCGAAUCCCAGUGCCCCAGCCA
rnacentral:tRNA from 2 species